AUGGAACAUUGGCUGUGGAUUAUUCUUGCUGCUCUUUUCUUUGAGUGUAAAGGAGAAGACAAGGUGAUCCAGCCAACAACAGAUGUCAUCGCUACUGAAGGAGAGACAGUUACACUUGACUGUACUUUUGAUACCAGUAGCACAACUUCCACAUUGUUCUGGUACAAACAAGAAGUAAAUGAUUUCCCCAAGUUUCUAUUGCGACGCUUCUCAACAAAAAAAGUUAAUCCUGAAGAAGGACAGAAGGAGAGAAUCGAUGCUGUAGUCAACAAGACAUCAGUUCCUCUGAAGAUCCAGAAACUUCAGCUGUCUGACUCUGCUGUGUACUACUGUGCUCUGCAGCCCACAGUGACAGGAAAC